rnacentral:tRNA from 1 species
GGUGGGAUACAGCUCAGUGGUAGAGCACUUCCCUAGGAUGAGUGAGGCCAUGGGUUCAAUCGCCAGUACCACCC